rnacentral:rRNA from 1 species
UGGGGGAUAUUGCACAAUGGGCGAAAGCCUGAUGCAGCGACGCCGCGUGGGGGAUGAAGGCUUUCGGGUUGUAAACCUCUUUCGCUAUCGAACAAGGCCCGCUUAGGGUGGGUUGAGGGUAGGUGGAGAAGAAGCGCCGGCUAACUACGUGCCAGCAGCCGCGGUAAUACGUAGGGCGCGAGCGUUGUCCGGAAUUAUUGGGCGUAAAGGGCUUGUAGGCGGCUUGUUGCGCCUGCUGUGAAAACGCGGGGCUUAACUUCGCGCGUGCAGUGGGGACGGGCAGGCUUGAGUGUGGUAGGGGUGACUGGAAUUCCAGGUGUAGCGGUGGAAUGCGGAGAUAUCUGGAGGAACACCGAUGGCGAAGGCAGGUCACUGGGCCAUUACUGACGCUGAGGAGCGAAAGCAUGGGUAGCGAACAGG